UGCAGGAGCCACUAAGAUAGGACACAGAGGUUGCGCAGAAUCGUUCUAUGUUUAAAUAGCUGGGAUACUGAACAAGCUGCUUGCCCAUCCUGGCCCAGUUAAGUCCAUGGCUCCCCACAGGAGGACAUUCUUGGCUCUCCAGCUCCCUAGCGUGUAUUUUCCUCCCCCCCCCCCCCCCCCGCUGAGGUAGGUGACUCUGGAAAAGAAUAUGCAGUGGGACAGGAGAGAAAAGACUUGGUGCCUCUGAAAGUGUUUGUGAAGCCAUAAGGGGGCCCCAGACUGAGAGAAAGAGAGAGCCACAUUACCAGAGCCAGACAGAACCCCGUUCUCCCGCUCACCAGCAAAACCCAAGGACAAAAAGGAAUGAGAGAAAAGCCUUCCUUCUGCUAGGUGUGUAAGCCCGGGAGAAAAUCCUCACAGCAUCCAGCCAAUUUGAAGGCGUGCCUUUUCACGUCCAGUAGUUCAGCAUCUGAGCCUCACUACAGAACAGCUGUGUGGUUGGUCAGUUCCAUGUUGAUUUGAAGCAGGAUAGAAAAAAAAAAUAUGGGAACACGAGAAGAGGAAGGAACCCAUCUCUCUGGGGUCUAGCUGGAGACUCACCAGCUGAGAAGCAUAAAUCUCAGGGCAAUCAACAGUGUCGACUUGAGGCCUUCUCUCCUCCUAGAUGGUACCUGACAUUUUCUGGAACGUCCAUGUGCAGCCCCAGUGGCUUGUGGUUUUACGUCAUCAGAUUAUAACUGAACCCGGGAGACACCCAGAAUCUCAAUAAUCAGAAAAGGGACUUGACACAUGGGAGAGCCGGGUACCUUCUGAGCCGAUUCAGCAGGGCUCAGGAGACGGUUUAAUGGACAAGAGGAACUGCUCUGAAAGCAUGAGAACCUCAUUCACAUCUGCAGCACUCACAGAAAAGCUAUGACUGGCUAUGUCACUUCAGCAUUGAGGGGCAGAGACAGGCAGAUCCCAGGCCCUUGAUGGCCGGCCGGCCGAGCCAAUGGUGAGCUCCAGGUUCCAUGAGAGACCCUGUCUUGAAAGGACAAAAUGGAAGGUAAUAGGAGAAGAUAUUCGAUCUCCUCUUCUGCCCUCUGAAUGGAUGUGCAUCUCUCACACACAGACACAGACACACACACACACACACACUCCCAAGAUCCUUUACAUCAUCACCAUUAUGACACUUCAGUGUGACUCUUCUUUGAGAAGUUUCCCUCCCCCAAUGCUCUUGGGAGUCAUAUUCUUUCCUUGAGUGCCUUUCCAUUUUUCUUUUUAAAUAAACCCCAGCUCCACUUCAU
rnacentral:lncRNA from 1 species